GCCCGUGUGGUGUAGUGGUUAGCAUUCCACGAGGUAGGAAAACCCCUCAAACAGCGCUGCAAUUAGCGUGUUAGCGUGUUGGAAUUACCCUAUUGUAUUAUUACCUACCUCGUGGGGCCCAGGUUCGAUUCCUGGCAUGGGCA